rnacentral:rRNA from 1 species
AGAGUUUGAUCCUGGCUCAGAUUGAACGCUGGCGGCAUGCCUUACACAUGCAAGUCGAACGGCAGCACGGACUUCGGUCUGGUGGCGAGUGGCGAACGGGUGAGUAAUAUAUCGGAACAUACCCUAGAGUGGGGGAUAACGUAGCGAAAGUUACGCUAAUACCGCAUACGCACUAAGGUGGAAAGUGGGGGAUCGCAAGACCUCAUGCUCAUGGAGUGGCCGAUAUCUGAUUAGCUAGUUGGUGAGGUAAAGGCUCACCAAGGCGACGAUCAGUAGCUGGUUUGAGAGAACGACCAGCCACACUGGAACUGAGACACGGUCCAGACUCCUACGGGAGGCAGCAGUGGGGAAUUUUGGACAAUGGGCGCAAGCCUGAUCCAGCAAUGCCGCGUGAGUGAAGAAGGCCUUCGGGUUGUAAAGCUCUUUUGUCAGGGAAGAAACGGUUGUUCCUAAUACGGAUGGCUAAUGACGGUACCUGAAGAAUAAGCACCGGCUAACUACGUGCCAGCAGCCGCGGUAAUACGUAGGGUGCAAGCGUUAAUCGGAAUUACUGGGCGUAAAGCGUGCGCAGGCGGUUAUAUAAGUCAG